rnacentral:siRNA from 1 species
UAGAUUCAAUAACGUCGUAAGUGC